GAGCAUAGCUCAGUUGGUUCAGAGCAUCUGCCUUACAAGCAGAGGGUCAUAGGUUCGAAUCCUAUUGCUCCC
rnacentral:tRNA from 1 species